rnacentral:rRNA from 1 species
UACGGAGGGUGCAAGCGUUAAUCGGAAUUACUGGGCGUAAAGCGUGCGUAGGCGGUUCGUUAAGUCUGUUGUGAAAGCCCCGGGCUCAACCUGGGAAUGGCAAUGGAUACUGGCGAGCUAGAGUGUGUCAGAGGAUGGUGGAAUUCCCGGGUGUAGUGGUGGAAUGCGUAGAGAUCCGGAGGAACACCAGCGGCGAAGGCGGCAUCCUGGACUGGUCCUGACACUCAGGAGCGAAAGCGUGGGGAGCGAUCCGG